GUGAUUUGUUGGUACAUUUUCCAUUUGAAAUAGAUGGACCUGGCUAUGGUGUUUUUGUUUUGUAGUAGGGUAGUGUAGGGGGUAGUGAUGGAAAGAGAUAUGAGGGUUAUGCUAUAAGAUAUUUAGGAGCAAUGCUGAGCCUCAGUUUGUAGAUGUCUAUCUGACAAUAGCUCCAGGCUUGGGUAAAUAUUUUGUAAGCAUGUUCCCUUGGGACAUUUGUUCCUCACCCAGAUGGCCUUUUCAUUUCAUAUUUCCUACAGCAGACUACUACUGCUUCAUUCCAUUUCAAAUCACAGAUUUCAACAGAGACGCAGAAUGCAGCGGGCUUUGAAUCUUGCUCAGACCUGACCCCAAAGUCUUCAUGCAAUUAUAGCUGUAUUCCAUUGAUUUGAUGAUGUCGUUCUCUUUCAUCUUCAGUAACACUUUUUAAAGAACCUGUCGUACAGAAAGCAGUGCCUGUCACAGGCAGCAGCAACAGGAACCUCGAGUUUUACCCUCUGAUACUGCUCUAAACAAAAACAACUCCUUUCCAUCUCUUGGUGUUUACAACUUUCAGUCCAGGUCAUUUGGGAAGAAGAUGUAUAAAGAAUGCUGACAAAUGAUAUGCAGCUGAAGGAGCUGGGUAAAGGGCAAUAAAAGGGCACUGAUGAAAGCCACUAUCCAGGGACUGGUAUAAACUAGAAUGGACUGGCUGAGAGUCUGAUAGCUUAUUUCACAAGACUUUUGUUCUGGCUGAGAUUUUAUUGCCUUGAGUAAUCAAGCAACACCUUCCAGCUAAAAAUAUUGGUAGGCUGAGUGCAAUGGAUGCGGGAGAAGGGAAAAUAUUCCUCAGCUUUGAAAAGAAUGUAGUAUAUGCUCACAGCUGCACCCUGAAGAACUCAGGGCUACACGGGUGCCUUUUUCUGAGGAGGGAGAAGACUGUGAAGUAAACAUGAGCAACUGCGGCAAAAAUUCACAAGAGGACAUGCUUAUAACGAGGGAAAACCCUAAGUGCAGCCAUUAUUAAUAAUUUUAAAUAUUGUAUUACUAUUAUUUGAAUAAUUUGAGUGUUUACAAUUUACAUUUUUUAUUUUUUCCAACGGUCGUAUGGAAAUGGGCAGCACAUAAAAUUCUCCUGUAAAGUACCUAAGAAAGCUCUGCUCUAAGCAUUAUGUGGCUCUAAAUGCAAAUUAGCCCAUCAAGAAUGUUUCAAAACUUUUAUAAUUUUAAAACACUUUUUGGUAAGCCAUAUUCUCACCUGCCCUGGAAAGGUUCUCAAGGGCUUCUUUGUGAUCUAUGUAACUAACUGUUAGGAUGAAGUCUUGAUUCAGAUAUGGGAAAUGACCUAGGUAUGUGCGCACACCGCCUUUUGAAGGGUUAGCCACUAGUUUAAAAAGACUAGAGUUCUCUGUCUGAAAGAAAAAUUCAACCUUUAAGCAUGUAGAGACACUCUGUAUGAUAGAUGGUGAUGAAACAGAAUAUCUUAAUGUCUUUAUUUUUGUCUGUAAUUCUAGAUAGGGCCUCUCCUUAAGUAACCUUCAGUAACAGUUCAAAUUAGGUAAACUGCUCAUGUUAGGAGAGCCAAGAUUAGAACUCAGUAUUUCUGUUAGCAGCGUGUGUUCAGAGGCGAAGCUGCUGCACUUGGUUCAUCAGAGCCAGAUUUUGUUUUUCAGGAUAUGAUAGAACAGUGGCUCUCAACCUCUCCAUACUACUGUACCCCUUUCAGGAGUCUGAUUUCAGCUCUGGGCAGGGCUUGGACUUCGGCAUGAGCUCCAGGCAAUGGGGCUUGGGCUUCAGCAUGUACCUUAGCUUCAUGAGGGCCCCUGCUUGCCAUCCCCUAAUGCCAGCCCUACACUUGCAACCCCCUCCCCAAACCCUUCCCGUGACACAUACCCCCAGGAGUCACCACCCCUAGGUCGAGAAACACUGAUGUAGUGUAGAGAGCAGUAUAAACAAGUCAUUGUCUGUAUGAAAUUUUAGUUUGUACUGACUUCGCUAGUGCUUUUUGUGUAGCCUGUUGUAAAAUUAGGCAAAUAUCUAGAUGAGCUGACAUACCCCUGAAAGACUUCUGCGUACCCCCAGGAGUACAUGUACUCUUGGUUGAGAACUACUGCGGUAGAAGCUCAACUGAUCAGUUUAGUAUUUGUCAGAGGUGUGUGUAGAUGCGUUGGGAGUUGUGUCUAAAGGAGAGAUAGUUGCUGAUGCUAUUUGUAACUGCUGCUCUCUACUGUGGUUGUUGGAAAUUGAUUUGGAAUGAUUGUUGCUGCCAUUUAUUUGUAGGCAUUAAACCAAGUUAUGAAUCUUUGAUAGUUAAGUUUUUUAAGAUGUACGUGUGUCCAAAGGCUUGGGCAAUGGGCAUACAGUGUAUUAAUAUUGAUCUACAUAUGUAACUUACAUUUUUAGUUUAUUGAGUUCUUUUAAUUGAUUAUCAGUUAACCAGCCUGUUAAAUGCUCUGAGUAAAAUGUAACCAUUUAACAAUUUCUGUCUGCCUCUGCUUGAUUGCUCUAAAGGCAACUGCUUUCUAGUGAAAUUCAG